rnacentral:pre_miRNA from 1 species
UAUAUACUCCCUUCGUCUGAAAAUAAUUGUCGCACAAAUUUAUAAAUUUAUAAAAAUGAAUGUAUCUAAACUAAAAUAUAUCUAGAUACAUUCAUUCCUAUGACAAGUAUUUCUGGACGGAGGGAGUACAUU